rnacentral:rRNA from 1 species
AUGAACGCUGGCGGCGUGCCUAAUACCUGCAAGUCGCGCGAACAGACGAGGAGCUUGCUCCUCUGACGUUAGCGGCGGACGGGUGAGUAACACGUGGAUAACCUACCUAUAAGACUGGGAUAACUUAGGGAAACCGGAGCUAAUACAGGCUAAUAUAUUGAACCGCAUGGUUCAAUAGUGAAAUACGGCUUUGCUGUCACUUAUAGAUGGAUCCGCGCCGCAUUAGCUAGUUGGUAAGGUAACGGCUUACCAAGGCGACGAUGCGUAGCCGACCUGAGAGGGUGAUCGGCCACACUGGAACUGAGACACGGUCCAGACUCCUACGGGAGGCAGCAGUAGGGAAUCUUCCGCAAAGGGCGAAAGCCUGACGGAGCAACGCCGCGUGAGUGAUGAAGGUCUUCGGAUCGUAAAACUCUGUUAUUAGGGAAGAACAAAUGUGUAAGUAACUAUGCACGUCUUGACGGUACCUAAUCAGAAAGCCACGGCUAACUACGUG